CUGUCGUCUGUCCCAGGUGGAUGCGCCAGUCCUCAGGACGGUCCAGCCAGCGGGUGGGGCCUUCUGGCCAUCACGGAUCAUCCCACCGAUGCCCAGGAGGAGAGAGGCUAGGCACGACGCUCCGCUCACUGGAGACCUUUCCUGCAAACAGCCAUCACUCUGCGCUCAGCCCUGGAGGAACCCUUGCUUUCUGGGUCACAUACUAUGCGUUUUCCCCUGAGAAAAAAUUCCUGCUGGAACUCUGCAUCUAAAGAGGCUACAGGGACGAUCUUUCACAAGAAGGCCACCGCCAAGGUGCCCACCGUCUGAAACCAUCCCUGACCAUGGAGCUCAGUUAGGCAGUGGUCCCCAGGAGGCCAGCUGUGAGGGGAGGCCUGAGCCUGAACCAGGAAUGCUUUCCCCAGGUUCCGAGGCUCUAAGGGGGCCCCUGUGGUAACCUGGGGAUAACUUUUCAUAUUUAAUAAACUUUUAAAAAUUGAUAGACUUUAGGGAAUUCCCUAGAGGUCCAGUGGUUAGGAUUCGAGGCUUUCACUGCUGAGGGUGAGGGUUCAAUCCCUGAUUGGGGAAUUAAGACUCCACAAGCUACACAGUGCAAUAAAAUAAUAAUAAUAUG